rnacentral:rRNA from 1 species
GUGGGGAAUAUUGGACAAUGGGCGCAAGCCUGAUCCAGCCAUGCCGCGUGAGUGAUGAAGGCCUUAGGGUUGUAAAGCUCUUUCAGUGGGGACGAUAAUGACGGUACCCACAGAAGAAGCCCCGGCUAACUUCGUGCCAGCAGCCGCGGUAAUACGAAGGGGGCUAGCGUUGUUCGGAUUUACUGGGCGUAAAGCGCACGUAGGCGGAUCGUUAAGUCGGGGGUGAAAUCCUGGAGCUCAACUCCAGAACUGCCUUCGAUACUGGCGAUCUUGAGUCCGGAAGAGGUGAGUGGAACUCCUAGUGUAGAGGUGGAAUUCGUAGAUAUUAGGAAGAACACCAGUGGCGAAGGCGGCUCACUGGUCCGGUACUGACGCUGAGGUGCGAAAGCGUGGGGAGCAAACAGGAUUAGAUACCCUCGUAGUCC